UACGUAGGGGGCGAGCGUUGUCCGGAUUUACUGGGCGUAAAGCGUGCGUAGGUGGUUUGUUAAGUCUGAUGUGAAAGCCCUGGGCUCAACCUGGGAAUUGCAUUGGAUACUGGCAGGCUAGAGUGCGGUAGAGGGUAGUGGAAUUCCCGGUGUAGCAGUGAAAUGCGUAGAGAUCGGGAGGAACAUCCGUGGCGAAGGCGACUACCUGGACCAGCACUGACACUGAGGCACGAAAGCGUGGGGAGCAAACAGG
rnacentral:rRNA from 1 species